rnacentral:rRNA from 1 species
CACGUAGGGUGCGAGCGUUGUCCGGAAUUAUUGGGCGUAAAGAGCUCGUAGGCGGUGUGUCGCGUCGGCCGUGAAAACCUGCAGCUUAACUGUGGGCUUGCGGUCGAUACGGGCAUCACUGGAGUUCGGCAGGGGAGACUGGAAUUCCUGGUGUAGCGGUGAAAUGCGCAGAUAUCAGGAGGAACACCGGUGGCGAAGGCAGGUCUCUGGGCCGAUACUGACGCUGAGGAGCGAAAGGCCGUGGGGAGCGAACAGG